rnacentral:rRNA from 1 species
AUUUUAAUUAAACUGUAAAAAGCCAUAAUUAUAACAAAAAUAAAUGACGAAAGUAACCCUACAAUAGCUGAUACACCAUAGCUAAGACCCAAACUGGGAUUAGAUACCCCACUAUGCUUAGCCCUAAACACAAAUAAUUAUAAAAACAAAAUUAUUCGCCAGAGUACUACCGGCAACAGCCCGAAACUCAAAGGACUUGGCGGUGCUUUAUACCCUUCUAGAGGAGCCUGUUCUAUAAUCGAUAAACCCCGAUAAACCUCACCAAUCCUUGCUAAUACAGUCUAUAUACCGCCAUCUUCAGCAAACCCUAAAAAAGGGACAAAAGUAAGCUCAAUAAUGACACAUAAAGACGUUAGGUCAAGGUGUAACCUAUGGAGUGGGAAGAAAUGGGCUACAUUUUCUACCCAAGAAAAUUUAAUACGAAAGCCAUUAUGAAAUUAAUAGCCAAAGGAGGAUUUAGCAGUAAACUAAGAAUAGAGUGCUUAGUUGAAUCAGGCCAUGAAGCACGCACACACCGCCCGUCACCCUCCUCAAGUAAAUAUGAUAUACUUAAACCUAUUUACAUAUAUCAACCACACGAGAGGAGACAAGUCGUAACAAGGUAAGCAUACUGGAAAGUGUGCUUGGAUAAAC